CUGAGUUUACUGACACAUUGCAUAAUACAGUAUUUUGGUGGUUAUGCUAAGGAGAGAAGGAAUUAUGCCUGUGUAUGGUCUGAACCUAUAUCCCAAGGCUCCUAAGAAAUGUAAUGAGAGGAGGGCUGCACCCAGGUCUUGGUGCAAUUCACAGCAUAGUUGCUCUUUUGGAAAGGUGUGAGAAUUGGGACUCAGAAUUCAAAUUUCCUGAGCUGAGGCAGGAGGCAGAGAAAAGUUCAAAGUCCAAGGUGGGUUUUGCAGGACAGGGUCAAAUUUUAAUGAUUUGCUUGUAAUAUUGACAAAUUAUCUUUCUGCAGCACAUUGUCAAUUAAUGGGAUAAGGUGGCAAUUCAGUGUAGGAGUGGGACUGCUUGGAGAUAUGGAGAUAAUUGUGUUUCCAGAGAAAACCUUCCAUUAAGCUGAAGGUACAGCUAUUAUGUCUUAGAAAGUUGUCCUGAGGGAAAAAAUCUUACAUGAGAAUUGUGAUCAACAAAACAUGAACUACAUUCACAAUGAGCCCAUGCUGGAAACCUCUCCUCUUCCUCUCUGAAAAACAGUUUACUCAUUUGUAAAGUGCCCUUUGGUGCACCUUCUCUCAGCUAAAGUCCAAGACACCAAAAUUAACCUCUCUCCCAUAUCUUGCUUUCUAGUUAACAGUAAAACAAAAGCAAAGAAGAAAUAAUAGGCAUUCCUGACUCUACAUGACCAUACACUCUGUGCUCUUGUUAUCAUCUGUUUCUUGACCAUCCUUACAGCCACUUCUGUGGUGGGGGAAGGGACUUGGUGGGUUAUGCUGGCUGUUUGCUAGCUAUGUUUCACCAAAGGCUGACAUCUGUCUGCUUGCUGCAGGGCAUAGCUGGGAUGAAGAAGAGAGCUGCAGGCACAGCAGGACCGGCAUGGCAGCAUGCUGAAGGGUGAUGCUGAUGUGUAAAAGCACAACAUUGCUGAGGAAGCCUGUUCUUUGCAAGGAGUUUUAUUUCAGGGCAUUUUCUUGUCAGCACAACCUUAGAGGAGGACUGAAGUUGGGUUCCUAAUGGAAGCAAGUUUCCCUGAUGCAUUUUAAUAUCUUCAGGCUGUUGUAGCUAUGCCAAGAGACUGGAAAACAGCCAGCUGACUAGAACAGCCACUGGCCAUGCAGGAGGUCUCAGACACUGCAGUACUGGCACACUGGCAGGGGGAAGUGAAUGUAUUUCAGGAUGAAUAGAUGGUCUUGGGGCUCCUUACUGUUGUGAGUGGCCCAUUGUUACUUCUCUGCCCCAGGCAAGCAGGCUUUGAGCAGACAUUGUCCUGUGUAGCACAGCUGUGUUGGAGUGCCUGACUUUGAAGGCUCUUUUCUCACAGCCUGGAUGUGCCUCCUUAUGUGAAGCCCCUCAGGACUAAAUUCUGGGCAAGAUGUUGAAGUCCUGCCUGCCCAGACAGCUGAAGGAAGCUGUCAAGGGAUUUACCCCCAGUUCAGGCUGUUUCCCACCCUGAGAUGCCCAGAGAGAUUUUGUAAGGAGGAGGAGGUAUUUGUCAGCGAUUGCUAGCGUUAAUUCUAAUGUCCUGAUUUAAGGGAGUAAUCCAUCAAGUUGUUUGUUUUCAGACCUCACUAGCUGCUGAAAAAUCAAGAGUCUUACAGCCAGAAGAGCCAAGUACUGUGUGCUCAGCUGAAGAUAGAUGUGGCAAUCACAGGUAACACAUUUUUCCAGUAAGAUGCAGAAUGCUCUCAGGGAGCAGGCAGGCAUUUGUGCCACCACCCUGUGGAGAUGCUCUUCCCUCUGCCCAGAGUGCAAAGCUGGGGCAGCAGGAGCAGGGAGAGCCCCAGCCUUGUGAUAUGCCUAGAGUGACCACUUCUGCAGGACUUGGUCCUGCUGCACCUCUAUGCGCCUGGUUCCCUGCCCUGCUCUCCCCAGGAUGUCACCCCCUUUGUCCUGACCCCAGGAAAAACUCUUUCUUUUUGGUAAAUCAUUCUAAAGUCCAAGGCAAGCAGCAGCUGCCUCGUUCUGCCUUGAGUACUAAAGGUUCCUCCAUGCUGACUGCAUGUCUUGUGUGCCUUCCUGUUAUCUCUCCUCCUCCAUCCCACUUAUUAACCAACUUGCAACUGUUGAACAAUGACACUCUGAAGAUUGCUGAGAUUAGGGCAAUACUAAACCUUUUCUGAGUUAGGCAUGCACAGCCUGCUCGUCCUCCCCUCCAGGGCCUCACUGCGUACCCUGGUGUUUCUCUCCAGCGGUCUGGGCAGCCUGGUCACCUACUGCCCUUCCUGUAAAACCUAUAUAUCCUCUCCUCUUGUCCCCUUGCACACAGCACAGUGGCUUCAAGAUCAGGCUCUCGGUUCUCUGUGAGAGGGGAAGAUGAGGGUCAGUGCCCUGGUGCUGGCACUAGCAGGAAAGCUGUGACUCUGCAGUGACUUUUCUGUGCUGAGCAGAGCAAGGAUCAGGUUAUGGAUAAGAGCUUAGGGUGGUCUUGGGGAAGGGAGAGCGCAAGAGAGG